UACGAAGGGUGCAAGCGUUAAUCGGAAUUACUGGGCGUAAAGGGUGCGUAGGCGGUUCGGUAAGUCUGUUGUGAAAUCCCCGGGCUCAACCUGGGAAUGGCGAUGGAUACUGGCGAGCUAGAGUGUGUCAGAGGAUGGUGGAAUUCCCGGUGUAGCGGUGAAAUGCGUAGAGAUCGGGAGGAACAUCAGUGGCGAAGGCGGCCAUCUGGGACAACACUGACGCUGAAGCACGAAAGCGUGGGGAGCAAACAGG
rnacentral:rRNA from 1 species